CCCACAGAGGCAGCGCACACAGCUGUGUAUUAACACAUGGGAGGUAGUUACAGUUAGAAGAAACACACUGACACAUCUGUUUACUCUGAGCCUACGUAAAUCCCUUGGUAAUUAGCAUCUCAACCAGCUGAGAGUGCUGAGAUUACAAGCGUGCAGUACUACACCCAAGACUGAUGGCCUUGAUGAGGCAGAAGUUGAAAACUUCACUCUGAAAACAAAUUUACAUUCAACUUCCCACGAAACACCAUAGUUAACACUUAAAGGUCAGAGACGUGUCUUACUGAAGUGGGUAGUGGUCAAUGCAGAGACUUAAACCUGCUCAGCAUGCUGAGAAUAAGUGACUGUGGGGGCUCAGCCCUAGACGGGACACCUGUCUGCAUCAAACACCAUCCCU